CUUUACUGUAGCCUGGAAUUGGGUCCGGGCUUCGCUUGCGCAGGAUAGGUGGGAAGCACUGAAACACUCCUUGUGGGGAGUGUGGAGCCAACGGUGAGAUACCACUCUAGCGAGGCUAGAAUUCUAACUUCGACCCAUUAUCUGGGUGAAGGACAGUUUCAGGUGGGCAGUUUGACUGGGGCGGUCGCCUCCUAAAAGGUAACGGAGGCGCGCAAAGGUUCCCUCCGGCUGGUUGGAAAUCAGCCCGUGAAGUGCAAAGGCAUAAGGGAGCUUGACUGCAAGAGCCACACCUCGAGCAGGGACGAAAGUCGGCCUUAGUGAUCCGACGGCGCUGAGUGGAAGGGCCGUCGCUCAACGGAUAAAAGUUA
rnacentral:rRNA from 1 species